GCAGGCAACCCACUCAGAUUUUUUUCCGUGGUGUGGAAGCUUGUUCUUUCAUUCUUGGCAAUAAAUCUCGCUGUUGUUCGCUCUUUGGGUCCGCGCUGCCCUUAUGAGCUGUAACACUCACCGUGAAGGUCUGCAGCUUCACCUCUGAAGCCAGCAAGACCACAAACUCACUGGAAAGAACAAACAACUCUGGAUGUACUGCCUUUAAGAGCUGUAACACUCACUGCAGAGGUCUGCAGCUUCACUCCUGAAAUCAGCAAGACCACGAACCCACCAGAAGGAAGAAACUCUGGACACAUGUGAGUAUCUGAAGGAACAAACUCCGGACACGCCAUCUUUAAGAACUGCAACACUCACCACGAGGGUCAGCGGCUUCAUUCUUGAAGUCAGCGAGACCAGGAACCCACCAAUUCUGGACACAAUAUGGAUGAAUCUCAGAAACAUGAUGUUCAGCAAAAGAAGCCAGACAUAUAGGGCGCUUGCUGUACAAAUUUUAUUUACAAAAACAGGUGAAAGUGGUAGUGACCAGAAGUUGGCAUGAGGGGGCUUUUGGGUGCUGGCCGUGUUCGUUUGAGUUCUGUUCACGAGGAGGUUCCAUAUGAAUAUAACUUCUUGCCUAAGUUGGUUUAGGUAAGAAGACUCUUCAUGUGCCUGUUUCCUUCAAAUUUUAAGGAGAGCUCUUGCAUGGUGGUAGAACCGAGGACAGCCUAGACCUUCUGAUUGUCAACUCCUUGUUCCAUUGUGUCCAAACCUACAUGUCUGAACUCCUCUCAUCAAAGACUUCUCAAAGUUAUUAAUAACUGGGGAUCACGUAUUCAGUAAUUACACACAUCAGGCUCCAUGCUUUCUGUGCAGUAUGUAAAUUGAUUCAUUGUCAUACUAAUUAUAAAUGGCUAGUAUUAUUGCUGCUUUACAAAUGAGGCAUAUGACACACAGGGAGCUAAAUAAUUUGCCUAAGGUCACCCCACUUGUAAAUGAUGAAGCCAGGACUCAAGGCCAGGUCUGGCCACCCCUGAAUUUAAUAGCUUUAUCCUCUAUAUCUCUGUUUUCUCCCAGACCAAGGUGUCUGUACCUCUCUGCCAACAGAGAAAAGGGUUCAUUCAUUCAUCAAAUGUUUGUUGAGCAUCUAUUGUGACUCAGGCAAUAUCCUAGAUCAAGGAUUGUCAAACUUUUUCUAUAAAGGACAAGAGAGCAAACAUUUUAGGUCUCCUGGGUCAUACGGUCAGUCACUGUGAUUCAACUCUGCUGUUGUAGUACAAGAUUGUGAAAGCAGCCAUAGAUGAUAUGUCAAUGAAUGAGCAUGGUUGUGUUCCAAUAAAAUGUCACUUGCGAAAGCAGGCUGUGGGCUGGGUUUGGGCCAAGAGUUCUAUCCCUGCUCUAGGCACUGGAGUUACAAUAGCAAAAAAUUAAAAUAAAGUAAAAUAAAA
ensembl:lncRNA novel transcript